ACUACAUGUACAUGUAGCCAAAGAGUAGUUAGCAAGCACCAUUUCUCCACCACAUAUUCCACCCAUCUCCUCACCCACUCCAGUCAGGUACCCCUUUUUCCACUCUUAUCUGUGCUCACCCCGACUAGCUCCCACCUCGAUCUGUAUUAGAAAAGCUGCCGGUGGAGGAGCUUGUGUGGCCGGCAUGUUCUUAUCAGUCCCACUGUUUCAAGUUGGCAUGGAAGGUGUUGUCUGAGUCCGUUAAGGAGGACGCCGCUGCCUGGCACCAGCACAUGCCCAGCAUGGAGACGGUGUGCCACCAAGGCAAGUCGUUGCGCGACUGCAACUCGAGCUCGCCGCCUCGAUGCUGUCAGUUUACCCCAUCCACGAGAUGUUGCUUCAGUGGUGAGCUCGCUCCUGACACCUCCCUCUUCCCAACCUCGAUUUUGGUCUUCUGCACCCAUCACGCCAUCCUUCCAUUACCUCGUCCUCCCGCCGUGAGCUCGCCGCCCGCCGUCGUUCUCUGCUCCUGCCAUUAGCCAGUGCCGAAUUGAGCCGAGAGCCCAGGUCCCUCCCUUUCAAGCGGCUCGUCGGCUUCUCGUCAAACCCGUCACCCACCGUUGCCGUCACCCUCCACUACGUAGCAGCCUGUGGGGGUCUCCUGGAGUGUGCGCCCGUGGUGGCCGGCCAGAGCAGCUGUCGGUGAGGAAGCAGAGGACACACCAUGGCCUUUGAGCUCCUCUGCGGUGGCCUGAUCUGGUCAUUUACUCCUGAGUGCGUGCGCGGCCAUGGUGGCUCCAUUAGUCGCCCCAUGCUCUGGAUCCGUCCAGCAGCCUCGCCUCCGACCCAAUUUGUGUUGUUCAACAUACGAAGAAACACACAUGACAUCCGAACAGUUUUUUGUUUUUACUUACGGGUGGUAGUGGGGGUAAAUAUUAUCAACUUUUAGGGCACUUUUAAUGACGGUGAGCCGGCGGGCAGAAGCAAUAGCCACUUUAUUAUUAGGGAAAGAUAAAGAAUAAUGGUAACCAUGAAACUUGUCAUCAUGAUUUUAAUGUUCAAUUUGGUUAUGUCAAUCAAGUAUCUCAUGAUAGUUUUUUUGUUGAGCUUUCUCCCAGUAUUAUGAAUAAUAAUAAUGUGGAGUUGAUAGGUCUCCGGCGUAUCUAUAAUUUUUUAUUGUUCCAUACCAUUAUAGUAUCAAUGUUUGAUGAUUUGUAUACAUUUAUAAGCAACUUUAUAUCAUUUUUUGGGACUAACCUACUAACUUGGUGUCCAACGCCAGUUGCUGUUUUUUGCUUGUUUUUGACUUUGCGGAAUAUCAGUAUCAAACGAAGUCCAAAUGCCAUGAAACUUUUUGGAUAUUUUUUCUAGCAAUAAGAGACCUUGGAAGCUUUGGGAAGGAACGAGAAGACGAAGGAGUGGCCCACUAGGCACCAGGGCACGCCAGGGGCCUGGGGUGCGCCCUGGUACCUAGUGGGGCCCACAAGCCUCCAUUUGACCUAACUCUGCCUCUACAAAUACUCUAAAAUCAGAAAGCCUACCAGGGAGUCCACGAAAUACUUUUUACGCUGCCACAAGCCUCUGUUCUUGAGAGAUCCCAUCUGAGCACCCUUUCUAGCACUCUGCCGGAGGGGGGAUCAAUCACGGAGGGGAUCUACAUCAACCUUGCUUCCCCUCGGAUGAUGUGUGAGUAGUUUACCACAGACCUAUGAGUUCAUAGAUAGUAGCUAGAUGGCUUCUUCUCUCUCGAUGUUCUUCAAUACAAUGUUCUCCUUGAUGUUCUUGGAGUUCUAUCCUAUGUAAUUCCUUUUUGGGGUGUGUUCGUUGGGAUCCGAUGAAUUGUGAGUUUAUGAUCAGAUCUAUCCAUGAAUAUUAUUUGAUUUUUCUCUGAACUCCCCUAGGGUUUCUGGAAUAUUUGGAGAUUUAUGUGGCGAAGAGGCGGUGCGGGGGGCCACCGAGGUGGGCACAACCUACCUGGGCGCGUCUGGGCCUCCUGGCGCAUCCUGGUAGGUUGUGCUCCCCUCGGAGCCCCCCUCUGGUACUUCUUUGGCCCAUCAGGUGUCUUCUAGUCCAGAAAAAUUCUCCAAAAAGUUUCGCUG
rnacentral:rRNA from 1 species